AAAGGCCUUAGGAACUCGAGUGAA
rnacentral:siRNA from 1 species